UAGGGAAUCUUCCGCAAUGGACGCAAGUCUGACGGAGCAACGCCGCGUGAGUGAAGAAGGAUUUCGGUUCGUAAAACUCUGUUGUUAGAGAAGAACAGCGCAUAGAGUAACUGUUAUGCGUGUGACGGUAUCUAACCAGAAAGCCACGGCUAACUACGUGCCAGCAGCCGCUGUAAUACGUAGGUGGCAAGCGUUGUCCGGAUUUAUUGGGCGUAAAGCGAGCGCAGGCGGUCAAUUAAGUCUGAUGUGAAAGCCCCCGGCUCAACCGGGGAGGGUCAUUGGAAACUGGUUGACUUGAGUGCAGAAGAGGAGAGUGGAAUUACAUGUGUAGCGGUGAAAUGCGUAGAUAUAUGGAGGAACACCAGUGGCGAAGGCGACUCUCUGGUAUGUAACUGACGCUGAGGCUAGAAAGCGUGGGUAGCAAACAGG
rnacentral:rRNA from 1 species